rnacentral:misc_RNA from 1 species
AAGGAUCAUUAUCGAAUAAAAGGCUGUUGCUGGUCUCUUGGGACAUGUGCACGCUUGUCAUCUUUAUCAUUUCUCCAACUGUGCACAUACUUUGUAGACCUUGGAGGGGGGAAUGGAAUUCGUUCCGAGCGGGGACUGCUGUGCCUUCAAAAAAAAAAAGAGGCCGGCUUUCCCUUUGAAAGGUCUAUGUCAUUUUUUUCACAAACAAUAUGUCUUAGAAUGUUGAAAUACAUAAAAGUUAUAAAAAACAACUUUCAGCAACGGAUCUCUUGGCUCUC